UACGAGAGGACCGGGAUGGACGCACCGCUGGUGUACCAGUUGUUCUGCCAAGGGCAUCGCUGGGUAGCUAUGUGCGGACGGGAUAAGUGCUGAAAGCAUCUAAGCAUGAAGCCCCCCUCAAGAUGAGAUUUCCCAUUCCGUAAGGAAGUAAGAUCCCUGAAAGAUGAUCAGGUUGAUAGGUCUGAGGUGGAAGCGUGGUGACACGUGGAGCUGACAGAUACUAAUAGAUCGAGGACUUAACCUA
rnacentral:rRNA from 1 species